ensembl:lncRNA
GAACUUCCCACCUCCCUCAUCCACCACAGAACUAACCUGUGAGCUAGCUUUUUGUUGUUCAGGGAUAGAAAAGUUCACAAAUUGUAGAGGAGAGUCUGUGUGACACAACGAUGGUAGGUGGGUUAACCCAAGACAGCGCUUAAGAUCAGCCCAGAGAAGUAACCACAAAGCACAGGAAGUCAUGGCUCCCAGAAGGCUAUCUGGAUCGCCUUCGGGAAGGUUCCAGCAGUGAAGCAGUCGGCAAUAUGGGCUUCAGAAACUUCGGCACAGCUCCGGCCGGUAUUCCCAGAGGACAAAACUCUUGUCAUCUGCCCCAUUUUACAUAGCAACAAUGGCAGGAGCUGCAAGCAGAAGCUUCUCCUAUGUCCUCUUUAUUUGUAUCAGGUGUGAAUUCCAGAUCAUGACACAGGAGCAGCCUAAGAGCUAUGGAAACUGCAGGAGAUAAAAUUGACAUGAGCAGCUGUAAGACUGGCUAGCUAAAUAAAGAAUGACACUGAAUAAAGAUAUGGAGAAAGAAAAGGAAGAUGGAUAGGAGAAAAUAACAGAGAAACCAAGGUCCUGCAUGUAGCAAGGAAACUGGAACUUACAAGAUCACAAACAGAUGAUUUAAGUGACUAAACAAAUGUAGCAAAGUGGAAAAGCAGCAGAAUGAGUGAUUAAGAAC